AAGGUCCUGGCUUAAUUAAAGUGUCUGGGUUGCAUUCAGAAGAUGUAGGUUAAUGUCCUACGGACCUUA
rnacentral:tRNA from 1 species